AUUGAACGCUGGCGGCAGGCCUAACACAUGCAAGUCGAGCGAGCGGCGGAAGGGUGAGUAAUGCCUGGGAAUUGCACAGUCGAGGGGGAUAACAGUAGGAAACGACUGCUAAUACCGCAUACGAAUGGAUGGCCCAGGUGUGCUUAGCUAGUUGGUGAGUUAAUGGCUCACCAAGGCCACGAGCCCUAGCCGGUCUGAGAGGAUGAGCAGCCACUCUGUAACUGGUACACGGUCCAGACUCCGACGGGGGGCAGCAGUGGGUGAUAUUGCACCAUAGGGGAAACCCUGAUGCCGCCACGCCGGGUGUGUGAAGAAGGCCUUCGGGUUGUAAAGCACUUUCAGCGAGGAGGCGUUACUCGCAGAAGAAGCACCGGCUAACUCCGUGCCAGCAGCCGCGGUAAUG
rnacentral:rRNA from 1 species